UAGGGAAUCUUCGGCAAUGGACGAAAGUCUGACCGAGCAACGCCGCGUGAGUGAAGAAGGUUUUCGGAUCGUAAAACUCUGUUGUUAGAGAAGAACAAGGACGUUAGUAACUGAACGUCCCCUGACGGUAUCUAACCAGAAAGCCACGGCUAACUACGUGCCAGCAGCCGCGGUAAUACGUAGGUGGCAAGCGUUGUCCGGAUUUAUUGGGCGUAAAGCGAGCGCAGGCGGUUUCUUAAGUCUGAUGUGAAAGCCCCCGGCUCAACCGGGGAGGGUCAUUGGAAACUGGGAGACUUGAGUGCAGAAGAGGAGAGUGGAAUUCCAUGUGUAGCGGUGAAAUGCGUAGAUAUAUGGAGGAACACCAGUGGUGAAGGCGGCUCUCUGGUCUGUAACUGACGCUGAGGCUCGAAAGCGUGUGGAGCAAACAGG
rnacentral:rRNA from 1 species